rnacentral:rRNA from 1 species
CAGCAGCCACGGGAAAACGGAAGGUCCAGGUGUUAUCCAGAUUUAUUGGGUUUAAAGGGAGCGUAGGCCGCAGGUUAAGUGUGUUGUGAAAAGCAGUCGCCCAACGUCUGCCUUGCAGCGCAAACUGUCCUGCUUGAGUGCGCACAACGCAGGCGGAAUUCGUCGUGUAGCGGUGAAAUGCUUAGAUAUCAUGACGAACUCCGAUUGCGAAGGCAGCGUACGGGAGUGUUACUGACGCUUAAGCUCGAAGGUGCGGGUAUCGAACAGGAUUAGAUACCCCAGUAGUCCCUGUCUCUUAUAC